AAUCGCGAAAUUUGAUAUCAACACUUAAACCGUCUAAAUCCUCUACAAAAACAUAACAAAACCCCACUGAAAUUUCUCCAUUUCAUCAUCUCUACAUCAUGAAUUUAAUCGAAAAACAUUCUAGGGCUUGUAACUUGUGCGGAUGAUAUCUCCUUCAAUUCUCAACCUUUUCAGAUAUAAACCGUUCCUUUUCGUGCGGUGCAUUCUCGUGGAUUAACUCUUCGCAACCUGUUUUCAAAGUUGAUGAUCAAGUGAUGUGGACACAUAGCAUGGGCCUUAG